ACACGUGACGACUCGGCAAGCGACCUCGAAGAACGGAAGCGAAUCGAAGAAAUAAAGCCGCAACCGAUCACUCGGCAUGGUACGAAAAACGUGUUCAUUUUCCGUGAAUUCGCAGCGUCACCCUAUGUAUUAUUGCUGCGUAACGACGCCGUCUGCGGUCCCCUAAAAACACCUUACGACAGGUCAUACAAGGUGAUCCAACGCGGGGAAAAGAAUUUCAUCAUCAAAAUAAAUAAUAAAAAUAUAACGGUCUCCAUAGACCGGCUAGAACCCGCGUCCCUUGUAGGUGACAAUAUCGAACAACAAAGCGUCGAAAACCAUGGCAUAAUAAUACCGCUUAGGAAUGAAGUCAAGCGAAACGAUAGAUAAACGAACACAAGAAGUAAAUAUGUCGCGCACGCGGGCAGGAAAGUCCAAUUUCCUGAUACGUUACAGGCAGGUUUCGGAUAGGCGCUAUAGUUCGUAGAACUUGGAAAUUACCCACGAAAUUUGUAAACUAACUAAAAAAAAAAAAAAAAAAAGUUAUUACUGGUAAGAAAGCAAUGAGGCACAUGAGGAGGAUAGGACUAUUCGAAUCGAGAGUGACUCAUGUUGUUUUGCGUCGCAGUAUCGACACCGUUACGAUGUACAAAAUUUAAAAAUAAAUAAACUCCGGACAAAGCAAUAUCAUCCCUACCAGGAACCGUCAACCAUAGUCAAAGUCAACCUUCCCCGUACUUCCCCUACCAGUAUAAAUAAACGAACGCGCUCUCUAGGACGAUCAUUAACUGGUAUCCUUACAGCGAGUAGCAUUGAGCGAGCGACGGAUCAGACGUAUUAUACCAACUCUAUAUAAUGUACGUAGAACAAUUUUUAAAUAUAUCUGACUAUCACGAGUAUUAGCUUAUCUUGUCGGUAAAUAAAUUAACACGUUUGAUACGAACAGCAAGCUGGUCGAAGAAGAAUCCAGGAGGACGAGACGCGACGGAGCUUCCCGUGCGGAAACAAAAAUCACCUAAGUGCGAACUGCCCAACGGAAAGCAAAGUUGCCAGGAGUACGGACACAUCGCAUCGCAAUUUAACAAUUGCGUCAAGAGGAUAAUUACCACCCGGAGUGCUCGAUGGGUCCACUCUAAAGCAAAACAUCAGUACCAGGUGAGAUACACUCACGACGGUGGUAUAGUUACAAGACUGGAUAGAAAUAGAUUCCCUCCUCAAAGGAAACGGACAGAAGAACACCCCCUGGACGGAGAGCUAGAAUAUAUGUAAGGACCAGGCGCUUCAAGAGACGAGUAUUCGUCUUCAUCACAUAGUCGUAUCUUUGAGCGGAAAUUUCGAAGAUGAACGGACGUCCUCGACGAUACCAGUAAGCAACGAAGUCCAUCAGUGACGAAAAUUUACGCCACGCUUGACAAUAGCCUGCAGUAUGCAAAUCCACAGAGAUCGUGGUUGAAUGUUGAAAAAUCCUGAGGUUCUCCAUCGUAGAAGCAAACUGAAGAAAUCCGAGAACCUUGGCGUCUCCGUAGAAAAGAAAAGAGCUAUUGAACCUUUCUACGUGAUUUCGAAGAUGGACGUAAAUGGAGUGGCAGCCAAAUCGAAGCAGUAUCGAAUCGGUGACGGGAUCAUAGACUGCGUGGUAUGUCGAUCGUCGCAGCUAGGCACGCGUAAAAACAUGUUCGGGAACCAUAGAAUUGCAGAUAGCCGAAGAACCGACUUUAGCUUUCGGUGCAGAGCUAGGUGACGCGUGGAGGAAAACUACUGAUGGGUGUGCCUGGAACACGAGACACGCGGAUUCGUUUAUUGCAAUUUUCGUUAACGAAGUGAGGACAACGAUCAUUGCUGCUAAUUGAAAAAACUGGUGGAUAAGCAUGGGACGGGACACUUAGCCCGUGUUUUACCGUGACAAGCAAUAAGGAGCGUAAGUAAAAAUCUCAAUCUGAGGACAGCAAUAGAUAAUUGCGAAUCCGAGUAUGUUUGAAAAUUUGUUGACCAUCUUGACCAAAGGAUGGAUGAGGAUAUAUUCUGGGGUCACAGCUCGUAACAAUAACUAUUUCCUAAACUUUGGUACUUAUGAAGUUUCACAGCCAUAUAUAUCAUAGUUUGUCUAUUGUAUCACAGUGAUGGCGAUGAGCUAUUUGUUGUUGAGCGGCACAUCUCUACCCGAUUUUGACCGCUGACGGCUUCUUUGUUUUGAUCGGUAUUAGGUUUUCCCCUCGUGCCCCGGACGUGGCCCAUCAGUUGGAAUUCAGUAAAGUAGGAAAAUUACGUCUAGGACUUGACUAUGGAUGUAGAAACACAUCGCCACCGUAGUCAUAUGCUGCUUUAAUUCUAUAAUCCAUACGUAAGGUUACAAGUGUGGGCUCUAUGAUAUAUUGCUUGGAAUUUCGUUAAAACAUUAAAACCCUUGUCGUCUGUUCAAACAAAAGCGUUAUACAGACAUAGAAAUUCGUUGAUGUGACUGGAUUGGAACUUGUUUCAUAUCGAAGCUUAUUACAUAAUUUUACUUUUUUUUAUUACAAAGUAAAACACAAAGCAUGAUAUACGAUGUUCGAGGAUUGAAACGCUAUCGUAGAAAUCUGCCCCUUCUAAUCUUUCCUGCUUGGUAACCACGUCACCAAUAAAGUCAAAAUUCGAUUUUACAAGAUAUCAGAAUAUGGAUAUUAUAAAAUGACUUUCUCUUCUAGUUUUCGUCAUUACGCAAUAGCUGUAUCAACAAGUAUAUACAUAUUAUUAAUUUCACUUUUUUCCUCUGUAUCAUGCUCAGUGUUUAACCGUGCUCUUUAGAGUCAUUUCCGACCCAAUCUUAUUUUUAUCGGGGUGCCGAUCCCACAUCAGCGUUAUUUCGCGGACAUCGAUGUUCCGCUCACAGUUGGUUAGUACUCCGAUCCGAGGUUCGGAUUGGGUUAGUGGAAUAGAUAGGCUUAUGAUGUGUUAGUAGGUUAGUUAUUAAUUAUCUUAAUAUAGACAUACUUAAAAUCUAACUUAGAGACUAUCAUUGGUAUGUCAACACACUUGUUGUGGAGUAUUAAACUCUACACAACAUCCAGUGCCUUAAAUACUAUAUUUCACAGUCUUGAUGAGCAUUUAUUUGGCGGCACAUCUCUGACCGACGACCUUCAACGCUGACGGCUCCUUUGUUUUGGUCUGGCUUAUCUGGUCUUCCCCUCUAACCCGGAAGAGGCCGAUCAGUAAUUAUCGUGUAAACUAGGAAAAUUACGACUAGGAUUUGAACACGGGACCUUUGGGUUUGUAGCCUUAUACUAUAUCUACAUCGCUUUUUUUUUUUUAAUAGUGUUUAUUUAUGCCAAGAUUUGUUUUUUUUUUAAUACAUUGUAGAAUUUAUAUAAACAUUGAAUUAGAAUAAGGCGUGUUAGGCAAAGGUAGCGAUACGCGACGGUACGACGUAACCAUAUUGAGUGUCGUGAUUUUUACAAUUUUUUGAGUUUUCGUUCUUGUGUUGGUUUUUUAGAAUUUCAGCCGCUGGGGAGCGGAGCUUUUGUAUGUUCUUGUUUAUGUUGUUAUUUUUCUUCUGAAACUUGGCCGCAAAACAGGACGCUUCGGUAGUCUACUUUUAUUGUGUAUAUUCACAUCGUCAUCGUAGUCAUAUGAUAUUAUUAUUUUAGAACUCAUACUUAAGGAUACAAAUGUCGACCCUACGUUGCUUGGAAUUUGAUUGAAACAUUAAAACUCUUGUUGUCCGUUGAGAGCGUGGUUUAGAUCUAAAAAUUGGGUUAUUAAAUUACAUUAAAACUUGUUUGAUAUCGAAGCUUCCCCUUACUAUACGAUUUUACUUUCUUUUAUUACAAAGUAAAACACAAAGCAUGAUGUACGAUGUUCGAGGAUUGAAACGCUAUCGUAGAAAUCUGCCCCUUCCAAUUUUCCCUGCUUGGUAACCACGUCACCAAUAAAGUCAAAAUUCGAUUUUACAAGAUAUCAGAAUAUGGAUAUCAUAAAAUGACUUUCUCUUCUAGUUUUCGUCAUUACGCAAUAGCUGUAUCAACAAGUACAUACAUAUUGUUAAUUUCGCUUUUUUCCUCUGUAUCAUGCCCAGUGUUUAACCGUGCUCUUUAGAGUCAUUUCCGACCUAAUCUUAUUUUUAUCGGGGUGCCGAUCCCACAUCAGCGUUAUUUCGCGGACAUCGAUGUUCCGCGCUCAGUUGGUUAGUAUUCCGAUCCGAGGAUCGGAUUAGGUUAGUGGAAUAGGUAGGCUUAUAAGAUAGUGUUAGUAGGUGUUAGUUAAUAUUCUCCAUAUUGACAUACUUAAAUCUAACUUAUAGACUAUCUUUGGUAUGUCACACACUUGUUGUGGAGUAUUAAACUCUAUACAACAAUCCAGUGCCUUCAAUAAUACUAUUCUAUCAGAUUUCAAGAUGAGCUUCGCGGCACAUCUCUGACCGACUUUCAUCGCUGAAGGCUUCUUUCUUUUGGUCGGUCCUAUACUCAAGGAUACCUCAUUUCUUAAACAGGUUACAAGUGUCGUCUACAUUGCUUGGAAUUUCGUUAAAGUAUUAAAACUCUUGUUGUCCGUUGAAACAAAAACGUGAUUUAGAUCUAAACCUCGAUGAUGUAACUGAUUUAAAACACUGUUUGUAUCGCAGUUUCUGUUUAUUACGCAAUUUUAUUUUUUUCAUAGUAAAAUAAAACAAAAAGCAUGUCAUACGAUAUUCAAGGAUCAAUACGUGGUCGUAGAAAUCUGCCCCUUCUAAUCUUUCCUGUUUGUCAAUAACGUCACCAAUAAUGUGAAAAUUUGAUUUUAUUAGAUAUCAAAAUAUCUAAGAAAACACAUGAAGACAUGAGUAAGUUGCACAAUUUCCGAGAACUAAAUCACAUGAUUGUAGAAAUCUUAACCUUUCUAAAUUUUGCUGCUGGUUACCAGCACGGAAUCGUGCAUGCAUUCACAAUAAUGAUUCAAAUGAUGUUGUCUAUCUUGUACAGUUAUCCGCAUCUCGAAACGAUGGCAACAGAGUGAAACAACACGUUUCCCAGGGUGCGUGAUUUUUGCCGCGCGGUUGCAGACGGUUUGAAAGAGCUCGUUAAUUCGCAUUUCCGCCGCUAUUGCCGACAGCGCCUUAGGAUUCCUGCGCUGGAUCACUUGGGCGUAACAAGCCCACGUGAUAUCCCUACAUCCCUUUGUAAUUAAGCUAUUUCUUCGAUUGGAUAGUUAAUAAUAUAUAGUAUUACAUCUAAAUCCGUUUAUCACAAUCAUGACGUUGGGUCGUCUGAUCCGUCCGAUUUCUUCUAUUUCU